AGUGAACGCUGGCGGUAGGCCUAACACAUGCAAGUCGAGCGGCAGCACAGUAAGAGCUUGCUCUUACGGGUGGCGAGUGGCGGACGGGUGAGGAAUACAUCGGAAUCUACUUUUUCGUGGGGGAUAACGUAGGGAAACUUACGCUAAUACCGCAUACGACCUACGGGUGAAAGCAGGGGAUCUUCGGACCUUGCGCGAUUGAAUGAGCCGAUGUCGGAUUAGCUAGUUGGCGGGGUAAAGGCCCACCAAGGCGACGAUCCGUAGCUGGUCUGAGAGGAUGAUCAGCAACACUGGAACUGAGACACGGUCCAGACUCCUACGGGAGGCAGCAGUGGGGAAUAUUGGACAAUGGGCGCAAGCCUGAUCCAGCCAUACCGCGUGGGUGAAGAAGGCCUUCGGGUUGUAAAGCCCUUUUGUUGGGAAAGAAAAGCAGCAGGUUAAUACCCCGCUGUUCUGACGGUACCCAAAGAAUAAGCACCGGCUAACUUCGUG
rnacentral:rRNA from 1 species